CUCGCCAAGAGUCCCAGGCCAUUGCCCAAGCCAUGCCUAGUAGAGCAAAUCCCGUGCGUAGAACCUGGGGACUGCUGUGCUACUGAAAUGCGGUACUAUUGCCAGCUGUACGAUGGCGAUGUCCAAACCUGACACCCACCUGCAGCUCGCCAAAGUCCACCAGCGCCUUAUCGGCAAUGGCCUUCUGCUGCGAUGCCUCAGCUGCCGUCUGCUCAAGCACGGCAUCAAAGGUCGCCUUCUCCUCCGCCUUGUCCAGCACGAACUUGUCGAACUGGGCCUUGGUUGAAGCCGCCGACUCCUGCGGACGUGAAGGUGAAAGGCAGGACACGGCUGUCGAUUACAGUUCUAAAAGUUGUAUGCCUGAAGCGGGGCUUAAUAAGUGUUGGAUGGUGCAACCCAAAAGAGCUUGCUUGACUGCCAGAGGCAUCACGCGCCUGAAUGUCGUGUAUGGCCUUGUCGUGCACGGCCUUGUCGGCGGUGGCCGUUGCCUUCAGCGAAUGAAGAUGGGCAGCCAAUUCAACAGCUGAUACCCCUUGAUAGCGGAACGGUUUCACGCGGUUGGCAUUUGACAAGCAUGAUAGGGCACACGCCAGCGGAGCCGCCAAAGCGCCCCUGUCCGGUUUACAACUCAUUACGCCCCAUGAGCACUGACAAUCCCGCCCACCUGCAGCUCGCCAAAGUCCACCAGCGCCUUAUCGGCAAUGGCCUUUUGCUGCGAUGCCUCAGCUGCCGUCUGCUCAAGCACGGCAUCAAACGCCGCCUUCUCCUCCGCCUUGUCCAGCACAAACUUGUCGAACUGGGCCUUGGUGGCGGUCGCGUUGGCCUGUGGAAUGCAGGCGCCGGACGAUUGAAUACGCAGCAAUGUGUGGUGGCGUCACGUGGGCGCGUUGCAGUGCAGUCCCCCGGACUGCGCAACGCGCCUGCACGUCGUACAGCGCCUUGUCGUGCACGGCCUUGUCCGCAGUGGCGGCGACCUAAAGUUGGUCAUUGCGCACGCGCAGCAAGCAGGCACAUGCCAGGGUCACACCAGCACCAUGGCACACGCACGGCUGCCCAGAUGCUGGCGACUGCGCGUUACACAAGCGCCCAAACCAUCUGCACACGCCCCGACAGAACGCGCCUGGACGUCGUACAGCGCCUUGUCAUGUACCGCCUUGUCCGCGGCGGCGUUUGCCUUUGGAACGGCGCAGUGCCGCGAUGUGCACGGGGUGCGUGUAUGCAGGGUUCGGCUAGUUGUGAGGUGGGAUUUCGCACACAGUGGCACUGACCAGCCAGGCACGCAUCCACCACACCAGCCAUCCAGGAAUCGUACUGCCAUCGGUGGUUUUGAGAAUCCCCCGGUCCAGCCUUGCAGCGCCAGCUCAAAUCGACACCUGCGUCAACCCACCUGCAGCUCGCCGAAGUCGACCAGCGCCUUGUCUGCAAUGGCCUUCUGCUGCGAUGCCUCAGCGGCCGUCUUCUCUAGAACUUGGUCAAACGCCGCCUUCUCCUCCGCCUUGUCCAGCACAAACUUGUCGAACUGGGCCUUGGCGGCGGUCGCAUUGGCCUGUGGAGUGAAGACACAGUCGCGUGGGUCAGUAUGCAAACCUGGUGGAAGGGUGCAAGCAAAAACAGUGCAGUCUCCCGGAUUGCGCAACGCGCCUGCACGUCGUAGAGAGCCUUGUCGUGCACCGCCUUGUCCGCAGUGGCAGUAGCCUUGAGCAAAUAGAACCGGGCAGCCAAAGGGCAGCAUUAUGCACUUGCCUGGCUAACCUAGUGUAUGACAUUGGGCUUUAUUCACGCCAGCAGAAAGUCCUGAAUGCCUGCUGGACGCAGCGGCCACAAGAUGACACGCACAAGCCACCUGCAUACCUGCAGCUCGCCAAAGUCCACCAGCGCCUUAUCGGCAAUGGCCUUCUGCUGCGAUGCCUCAGCGGCCGUCUUCUCCAGGACGGCAUCAAAGGUCGCCUUCUCCUCCGCCUUGUCCAGCACAAACUUGUCGAACUGGGCCUUGGUGGCGGUCGCCGACGCCUGUGGCAAAUGCGAGCGCCCAUGUCAGGUAACGCAGGUGAGCCGAAAUGACCAUCGCUUGGUAACCGCGCGCGCAUACAAGCCCGUGUGCUGCAAC
rnacentral:lncRNA from 1 species